rnacentral:misc_RNA from 1 species
GUAGGUGAACCUGCGGAAGGAUCAUUAAUGAAAUUCUGACUGAGGUUGUAGCUGGCUCUUAACCGGGCAUGUGCACGCCUCUUUCAAAAUCCACAAACACCUGUGCACCUUUGCGUGAGUUUCUGGGGACGGGGGGUGGUAACACUCUCUAAGUACCGGGAGCUCGCGUCCUUUUCACAAACUCUUGUAUGUCUUUAAGAAUGUCUAUCUUGAUGUAAUAAAACGCAUCUAAUACAACUUUCAACAACGGAUCUCUUGGCUCUC